rnacentral:rRNA from 1 species
GCCAGACUCCUACGGGAGGCAGCAGGGGGGGAUAUUGCACAAUGGGGGGAACCCUGAUGCAGCGACGCCGCGUGGGUGAAGAAGCGCCUCGGCGCGUAAAGCCUUGUCAGCAGGGAAGAAAAUGACGGUACCUGAGGAAGAAGCCCCGGCUAACUACGUGCCAGCAGCCGCGGGAAUACGUAGGGGGCAAGCGUUAUCCGGAUUUACUGGGUGUAAAGGGGGCGCAGACGGCGAUGCAAGCCAGGAGUGAAAGCCCGGGGCCCAACCCCGGGACUGCUCUUGGAACUGCGUGGCUGGAGUGCAGGAGGGGCAGGCGGAAUUCCUGGUGUAGCGGUGAAAUGCGUAGAUA